GACGAACGCUGGCGGCACGCCUAACACAUGCAAGUCGAACGGGAAGCUUUUCCCAAAGCGGGCAUUGUCCGUUUCAGGAGGAGCGGAGAGUGGCGAACGGGUGAGUAAAAGACGGGAAUCCACCGACAGGACCGGGACAACCCCGGGAAACCGGGGCUAAUACCGGAUAAAGCCGGGAGGCCAAAGCACUUAGCGCCUGUCAACGAGCCUGUCAAUCAUUAGCCUGCUGGUGAGGUAAGGGCUCACCAGGGCGACGAUGAUUAGCCGGCCUGAGAGGGUGAACGGCCACACUGGAACUGAGAGACGGUCCAGACUCCUGCGGGAGGCAGCAGUGGGGAAUCUUGCGCAAUGGAGGCAACUCUGACGCAGCGAUGUCGCGUGCGCGAAGAAGGUAUUCGUACCGUAAAGCGCUGUUACCGGCAAAGAGAAGAAGACGGUAGCCGGUCAGCAAGCCCCGGCCAACCACGUGCCAGCAGCCGCGGUAAAAC
rnacentral:rRNA from 1 species